rnacentral:lncRNA from 1 species
AUGUGUAACCCAUGGGUGGCGUGGUUAGGAGUGCUACCACUCUUUAUCCUAUUAACUCAGGCAGCCCUCAAACCAGCAAUGCCUCCGGUGAUCAAGAGCCAGCCUUUCAACAUUUUCUGGGCAGCCCCAACAAUGUAUUGUAUGCCUUCCUUCAACGUGGAUAUAAAUCUUCAAGUAUUUAACAUUAUAUCAAAUCCUUUAGAGACUCAGAGUGGGUCAAAAAUUGCCAUAUUUUAUCCAAAUGAAUUAGGGUAUUACCCUUACUUAUCUCAAGAUGGAAAAUCCUUUAAUGGAGGAAUACCGCAGAAUGUGAGCCUUUCUGAACACCUUAGGAAAACUGCUGAUGACAUUGGAGAAGGUGUCCCUUGGUGGAGAUCAGAAGAACUUGUUGUUAUUGACUGGGAAAGUUGGAAACCCCAAUGGGAUAGAAAUCAGGGCAGCAGAAUAAUAUAUAAAAACCACUCUUUAGCCUUCACUAGAAACCAUCAUCCUUAUUGGUCAGAAAUGAAAGUGGAAACAGUUGCCCGAGAGGAAUUUGAAAAUGCUGGAAAAAAUUUCAUGAACAUUACUCUCACAUUGGCUUUAGAAAUGAGACCAAAAUGUUUAUGGGGCUUUUAUCUCUAUCCAGACUGCUACAAUUAUGAUUACAGAAUAAAUCCAGAGACGUACACAGGUAAUUGUCCAAAUUGUGGCUGUGGGAAAAAAGCGCAGCACUUUAUCCUUCAAUACAUUUGGAUAAAAUACUGAAGUCAAGCUUAAAUGCUUUGAAAUUUGUUCACUAUCGAGUUAGAGAAGCCAUGAGGGUUGCUGAAAUGGCUAGACAUGACUAUGUUUUGCCAGUUUUUAUUUUUUCCAGACCAUUUUAUUUGCAUAGUACUGAAGCUCUGUCACAGGAGGACUUAGUGCAUGCAAUUGGCGAAAGUGCAGCAUUGGGGGCAGCAGGAGUAAUAUUGUGGGGAGGAUAUGAAUAUUCUGCUUCAAAGGAGAACUGCUUAUCUGUGCAGCAAUCUAUCCGAGGGCCUUUGGGCCAUUAUGCUGUGAAUGUGACAUCUGCAGCCAAGCUCUGCAGUCAGAGUCUAUGUAACAAUCAUGGAAGAGUAUUCGAAAAACACCUGAGUCCUCCUUCUAUCUGCAUAUGCCUGAAAGCAGUGGUAAGAAAUAUGUUCUAAACAAGAGUUUCAGAUUCAUCAUUUCUGAAAAUAAUAAACAGAAGACAAUAACAGACAUGAAGAAUGGAUUUGUGUGUCACUGCUAUUACGGCUGGCAUGGACCGUCUUGU